AGAGUUUGAUCCUGGCUCAGGAUGAACGCUAGCUACAGGCUUAACACAUGCAAGUCGAGGGGAAACGAUAUUGGAAGCUUGCUUCCGAUAGGCGUCGACCGGCGCACGGGUGAGUAACGCGUAUCCAACCUGCCCACCACUUGGGGAUAACCUUGCGAAAGUAAGACUAGUACCCAAUGACGUCUCUAGAAGACAUCUGAAGGAGAUUAAAGAUUUAUCGGUGAUGGAUGGGGAUGCGUCUGAUUAGCUUGUUGGCGGGGUAACGGCCCACCAAGGCAACGAUCAGUAGGGGUUCUGAGAGGAAGGUCCCCCACAUUGGAACUGAGACACGGUCCAAACUCCUACGGGAGGCAGCAGUGAGGAAUAUUGGUCAAUGGGCGAGAGCCUGAACCAGCCAAGUAGCGUGCAGGAAGACGGCCUUAUGGGUUGUAAACUGCUUUUAUAAGGGAAUAAAGUUAGUCUCGUGAGACUUUUUGCAUGUACCUUAUGAAUAAGGACCGGCUAAUUCCGUGCCAGCAGCCGCGGUAAUACGGAAGGUCCGGGCGUUAUCCGGAUUUAUUGGGUUUAAAGGGAGCGUAGGCCGGAGAUUAAGCGUGUUGUGAAAUGUAGACGCUCAACGUCUGCACUGCAGCGCGAACUGGUUUCCCAGAGUACGCACAAAGUGGGCGGAAUUCGUGGUGUAGCGGUGAAAUGCUUAGAUAUCACGAAGAACUCCGAUUGCGAAGGCAGCUCACUGGAGCGCAACUGACGCUGAAGCUCGAAAGUGCGGGUAUCGAACAGGAUUAGAUACCCUGGUAGUCCGCACGGUAAACGAUGGAUGCCCGCUGUUGGUCUGAACAGGUCAGCGGCCAAGCGAAAGCAUUAAGCAUCCCACCUGGGGAGAGCUCAGUGAAAUUGUAGUAUCGGUGAAGAUGCCGAUUACCCGCGAUGGGACGAAAAGACCCCGUGAACCUUUACUACAGCUUAGCAUUGACCUUGGUCAUCCGAUGUGUAGGAUAGGCCGGAGGCUUCGAAGCGGGAGCGCCAGCUUUCGUGGAGCCAUCCUUGAAGUACGGCCCUU
rnacentral:rRNA from 1 species